UUUUUAUCGGCCCGCCCCGUUCUUGAAACAUGCACGCACCGAACGUAUGGGCUCCGGACAGAGAGGGGGAAGGGACUGAGAUUGACCCGUUCGGGAGGUGACCUGUGAUUGAUUCUCAGGAUGGGACUGAGGCUUCUCUAGGGCCUGCUUUGCACAGCCCUGCAACAUCUGGGCACAGAUCACCUCAGGGCCCUCUGCCAGUUGAGCUGGGCCUCACCGUGCCAUCAUGCCAAGAAGCAUGACUGAGGAACAGCGCUCCAGAGCAGAGCAGGGGACCUUCUCAGUAGCCCGCUCCCAUAGCAGUUGGAUCACUGCAGGUUUCAACUCAUCCUUCUGC